CAUGCUUUCAAAAGGUUCACUUCACCUUAAUUCCUCCCUCGAAAGACAUUAAGAACAUCUCAAUUGUUCUAUUCAAUUACUAUUCGAAUCCUAACGAUCUUGCACGAUGCGUUAGAGGGUUACGAAAAGUGGGGGAUUUGCUUAAAACCCGAACAAUGGAAAAGAUCAAGACGGGGCAAUAAAGGGUUCCAAUUUUUAGGGCCUCCAUUGCCGGAAAACUAGUCGGAUAAUAGCUCCGUUGAAGAGCAUUGUAAGGAAACAGUGACCACGGCGGAUGUUUGGUCGGAACUUACCGAUGACGUAGACCAAGCCCAGAGUCUUAUUUAGUCAUACAUGUCGAACUAGCCGUUGAAGAGGUCCGACUAGCCGUUGAAGAGGUCCAACUAGCCGUUGAAAAUAAUUGAUGGAAAAGGAAAAUAAAAAUAAAAGUUGGAAUCCUAAAUCCCACAUCGGAAUGGAAUGGAAUGGGAGGGGGACUCAAAAAAGUCUAUAAAUAAGACCACAUGCCCCCUCGGAAUCAGAACAAACUACCACUGAGGGCAGAGCAUAUUCAUGGCGAGAAACCUUCAGCAAGCCGAAAACCACAAUCCCUUGAUAACAGCCCAUCAUCAACUCUUUCAUUGUCGACAAUGUUGCUCGGAUACCGUAAUCUGGUGAAUUCUUCAACCUUUCCCUCAAUUUCAAACUCAGAAAUUUAACGGAGUGAUUUACAACCAAUCAUGGGAUACUAUAAUCUGGUAUGUUCUUGAUUGAGUCAGUUACCAAGCAUGUCACCAUGGUGAAGCUCGCUAAGGGAGCAAGGAGCCAUGGGGGGAGGUAGGUACCUGAAGAUAAUAGAAGGCGAGGGAAUAAGCGGGUGCGACUUCCAUAUCUGAUCUACCUAUGCAACGCUUGGCAAAUAUUCCAGGAAAAGCUGUUGAAAAAGGUUUCUCUGGCACUUCAACCAGCCUUGGUCCUCUUCAGUUUGAAGCAUGCAGUGCUUUCCAAACAAGCCCCUCUUGUCCGGAGAGCAGUUUGGGCUCGCUUGACAUCCAUACGAUCAGAAUAUCCUCCUCAGGAGCUGAAGAGUCUAAGAGACUCGCUGGCUCAAAAGGGACUUCCACUGUCAAGGUCGACUAUUAAUGGAUAUGAAGCUUCAGGCGGAGAGGACAGUGACCGAGUUCCUUUAUUGAAUCUAUUCAUUCAUGCCAGAUUACAUGAUGAGACAUACCCGAUUAUGAAGGGGUUGCCAGGAUCACAUAGUGAGGAUGGAGCACUUGCAACAUACCCUACUUUGUUGAAGUGUUCCUUGUAAUGAGUUUGAAGAUGCAUUCAAGUUAUAUAGUCUGCUAAAAUAAAAUAACGAGUAGAACUGCUUUUCUUAGUGGGUUAUUUCACUGUGAUGUUUUGUUUUAUAAAGAUGAUCUGUGACUAUUGAAAAUUGUAGACCACAUUACUUGUUUUGACUUUACUUUCUCUGCAGGCUGUUUUACUGUGGAUAGUUGUUAAAGCCGUUCGUCACAGGCGGCUACAUAUUUGUUGGUGAAGUGCAGAUAACCACCAACCUCUGCCUUCUAUCUCUGCCAGGUAUGAGAGCAGAACAGUUGAAACGUAGACUUCCAUUCCAUCCUUGUGUUAUUUCUUUAUAACUGCAGUCUCAUGGGUGCAAGUGAUGAGGAUAUUUUUUUAAUUCACGUGAGAUCGAUUCUUCUAUCGCAGCCUCGGUUUUAAAAGAAGGUUUUGGAAAACGAGGGUAGAGAGAGAUUUUAGAAAGAGAGAUUUUUGAAAGAGACGUUAUAUAAGCAAGCAAGAGAGAGAUAACAACGGCUUAGCAUAUAUAACCUUGGGUAGGGAAACCAUUGAGUCAGUCGAGGGAAUCCGGUAUGACUUAUGCUCAUUUAAGUCCGUCAUUACUUUGUCAAACGAGUAAUUAAUACAAAUAACAAAUGCCGGCAAGAGUGAUCGUGAGAGACGGAGGAGGGAGAAGGAGAGAAAAUGAACUUUUAUUAGGGACAAAGAUCUCAUCUUCUUUUCUCUAAAGGUAGGUUGACAUUUGGUAGGCACCCUGUUCUUCAUUUAUCAUUUGUUCCCUCUUUUGUUUUGGUGCUUGUGGACUUUUUUAGGUGAUCUUCAUUCAUAUGGCUUGACCCGCCAGAAAUUUGGCCAUGGAAGUCGUAUCUCGGGUAACAUUCUUAUAUAACAAACUAGCACACAUGAUCAGAAGAUUAUUGUAGGACUUUUAGCAGUUCUUAACUUCUAAACAAGUGAUCAUGCUUUUAGGUGCAUGGUGAGGCGUGGGGAUGUCCUGUGACACCACCCACACCACCCUUUCAUACCUUUAUCUGCAUUUCCAACUGACAUGUGCCUGUUGAUUGUUAGAUUUAUCUAAUGAGCAUCCUAGGAAAGCUUGCUCGUCUCUAGAUAGCAAUUCCUAGGAAACUUGGCAAUAGAAGACCUAGGAAAACUUGGCAUGAUAACUACUUGGCUCUAUUCCGACCCUAGGAAUACUAGGAAUACUACUUGGCUCUAGACCGACCUAGGAAUACUAAGAAUACUCUUGGCUCUAGACCUACCACCGACCUAGGAAUACUAGGAAGAACGUUGCUUGGCUCUAGACCGAGCAAUUCCUAGGGAACACUGCUGGCUCUAGACCGAGCAAUUCCUAGGAACACUACCUGGCUAGGAAUACUACUUGGCUCUAGACUGACCUAGGAAUACUAAGAAUACUGCUUGGCUCUAGACCGACCUAGGAAAAAUAAGAAUACUGCUUGGCUCUAGACGGACAUAGGAAUACUAAGAAUACUGCUUGGCUCUAGACCGACCUAGGAAUACUUACUGUGGCUUUAGAUCGACCUAGGAAUGCUUGGCGAGAGGCCGAGCAAUUCCUAGGAAUACUGCUUGGCUCCGACCGAGCAAAUUCCUAGGAACACUGCCUGGCUCUAGACCGAGCAAAUUCCUAGGAACACUACCUGGCUCUAGACCGAGCAAAUUUCUAGGAACACUGCCUGGCUCUAGAUCGAGCAAAUUCCUAGGAACACUUCCUGGCUCUAGAUCGAGCAAAUUCCUAGGAACACUGCCGGGCUCUAGACCGAGCAAAUUCCUAGGAACACUGCCUGGGCUCUAGACCGAGCAAAUUCCUAGGAACGAACACUUCCUGGCUCUAGACCGAGCAAAUUCCUAGGAACACUUCCUGGCUCUAGACCGAGCAAAUUCCUAGGAACACUGCCGGGCUCUAGACCGAGCAAAUUCCUAGGAACGAACACUUGCCUGGCUCUAGACCGAGCAAAUUCCUAGGAACAAUGUGUGCCUGGGCUCUAGACCGAGCAAAUUCCUAGGAACGAACACUUGCCUGGCUCUAGA